rnacentral:rRNA from 1 species
UACGUAGGGUGCGAGCGUUAAUCGGAAUUACUGGGCGUAAAGCGUGCGCAGGCGGUUUUGUAAGCCAGAUGUGAAAUCCCCGGGCUUAACCUGGGAAUGGCAUUUGGGACUGCAAGGCUUGAGUGCGGCAGAGGAGACUGGAAUUCCUGGUGUAGCAGUGAAAUGCGUAGAUAUCAGGAGGAACACCGAUGGCGAAGGCAGGUCUCUGGGCUGACACUGACGCUCAUGCACGAAAGGCGUGGGGAGCGAAACAAAG